rnacentral:rRNA from 1 species
UAUCAGCUUGUUGGUGGGGUAAUGGCCUACCAAGGCGGCGACGGGUAGCCGGCCUGAGAGGGUGGACGGCCACAUUGGGACUGAGACACGGCCCAGACUCCUACGGGAGGCAGCAGUGGGGAAUAUUGCACAAUGGGCGCAAGCCUGAUGCAGCGACGCCGCGUGGGGGAUGACGGCCUUCGGGUUGUAAACUCCUUUCAACCAUGACGAAGCUUUUGUGACGGUAGUGGUAGAAGAAGCACCGGCUAACUACGUGCCAGCAGCCGCGGUAAUACGUAGGGUGCGAGCGUUGUCCGGAAUUACUGGGCGUAAAGAGCUCGUAGGUGGUUUGUCGCGUCGUCUGUGAAAUUCCGGGGCUCAACUCCGGGCGUGCAGGCGAUACGGGCAUAACUUGAGUGCUGUAGGGGAGACUGGAAUUCCUGGUGUAGCGGUGAAAUGCGCAGAUAUCAGGAGGAACACCGAUGGCGAAGGCAGGUCUCUGGGCAGUAACUGACGCUGAGGAGCGAAAGCAUGGGUAGCGAACAGGAUUAGAUACCCUGGUAGUCCAUGCCGUAAACGGUGGGCGCUAGGUGUGGGGGUCUUCCACGACUUCUGUGGCGUAGCUAACGCAUUAAGCGCCCCGC